GUAAGACUGCAGGGAGACAAACCACAGGUCAGUGCCCUCCACAGGGGGCCGAGGCCAGGCCUUAUCCACACAAAGCUGUGUGCUAAAGCAGGGGCUGCGGCAGAAGGGAGGGUCUUUGCAGAUCAUGUAUCUGAUAGGGCCUAGUACCCAAAAAGUGUAAAGAAUUCUUAAGCCAGCACAGUGGCUCAUGCCUGUAAUCCCAGCACUUUGGGGGCUGAGGCAGGCGCAUCGCUUGAGCCCAGGAGUUCGAGACCAGCCUGGCAACAUAGUAAGACUGUGUGUUUACGAAAAAUAAAAAAUUAGUCAGGUGUGACUGUGUACCUGUUGAACCUGGGAGGUAGGAGUUGCAGUGAGCGGUGACCCACCUCACUGCACUCCAGCCUGGGUGACAGAGCAAGACCGUGUCUUAAAAUUUAUUGUCUAUCUCCCUAUCUGAAAUUCUUACAACUCAACAAUAAAAAGACGACCCAAUUAAAAAUGGGCAAAGGAUGAGAACAGACAUUGCUCCAGAUGAAACACGCAAAUGGUCAACCUCUCGCAGAUCAAAACCACAACGAGAUUCUUCAUAUCCACUAGGAUGGAGAGAACUGAAAAACAGCAGGUGUUGAUGAGGAUGUGGAGAAACUGGAACCGCCAUGUGCUGCUGGUGGGAAUGUAAAAUGCUGCAGCUGCCGUGGAAGUUUGGUGAUUCCUCAAAAAAUUAAACUUAAAAAAUUAAACACAGAAUCACCAAAUGACCUAGAAAGUCACUGCUGGGCACGCACACCAACAGCCUGAGGAGACAGAUCCGAAGAGACACGUGUCCAGCAACGCUCAGAGAGGCAUCACUCCAGCAAUGCCCACAGUGGCUCCACUCGCGACAAUGCUCACGGCAGCACCACUCACAGCAGCUACACGUGUCCAGCAGUGCUCACAGUGGUGUCACUCAACGGCAGCUACACGUGUCCAGCAGUGCUCACAGCGGUGUCACUCAACGGCAGCUACAUGUGUCCAGCAGUGCUCACAGCAGCACCACUCAUGGCAGCUGGAGGCGCACAUGCCCAGAUCCCUGUCCACGGAUGAGUGUGCCCACAUGACCUGGCAGGAGACUCACAAUGGACUAUUCUGGGGCCAUAGAGAAGGAACGCAGUUCUGACACGGCCGACAACACAGGUGAAUCUUGACAACAGAAUGUUAAGUUUAAGAAGCCAGACACAAAAAGGCCACACACUGUGUGAGUCUCUGCAUAUGAGGAAUCCAGAACACACAAGUUCACAGACACAGAAAGUGCAUCUGGCUCCCAGGGACUGGGGCGGGGCAGAAUGGGGAGUGAGGGCUCCUGGGUGCUGGGUUUGCACAGGAGGUGAUGACAGGUUCAAGACAGGACAGAAGGGGUGUCUGCACACAAUGCAAAUGCACUACACGCUACUCAAGUGCACACUUCAUGAUGGUUACAAUGGUAAAUAUGUGUAUUUUACCAAACGUAAUUUAAAAAGGGAGCACAGAGGACCAGGCCAUGUGAGUGUCCUGGUCCCCAGAGGCCUGUGUCUUCGCACUCAGCCCCGCUUAAGUGCUCAGGCUAGUGCAGCCAACAGACAGCCCCAGGCCUUCCUCCCCUGUGCGGCCUGGGUGUGGCACUUCCCCACCUCCUCGCAGGAGGCUCCUGGCCUGGGCGGUGCUGCCUGCCUCCUUCCCCGCCUUCCCCAUAACGUGGCCCCAGCUGGCGAGGAUGGACGCCUGCCCGCUUGUCUGUCCUGCACUGUGGCCACCUCCAGUUCACCACGUGGGUGAGAACACCACAGAUGUCAACACCAAUUCCAGACACAUUCAUGAUCCAGUUUUCAGGCUUCAAGUAACCGACACACGAUGAGGGAAGUGCCUCCAGGUGCCAGAGACUGAGUCUUGCUGUGUUGCCCAGGCUGGAGUACGGUGGCUAUUCACAGGCACAAUCCCUCUACUGAUCAGCACAGGAGUUUUGACCUGCCCUGCUUCCAACCUGGGCUGGCUCCCCACUCCUUAUGCAGCCAGGUGGUUCUCUGCUCCCAGAAUCACCAUAUUGAUGCCAAACUUAGUGCGGAAAUCUGACUGGCAUAGCCCAGAACUACAGCCCAGAACUUCCCGGCUCCCGCAGUCCUCCCGCGUCAGCCUCCGAAGUAGCUGGGACUACAGGUGCGCCACUGCCACCUGGCUGUCGUCUAUUUUAAACUUGGGAUUCUUCUGAAAUGUUUACUAAACAUUUAAAAUAACAACCAUUCAUUUCUCCACAAUUCUUAUGGUGCUCUGGGUUUAAAAAUUCAAUUUACUUCAAAAAGGUGCUCAAGCUGGUCCAGCCGCCGCAAAUAAAGUUGCUACUGAAAGCA